GCAGUGUGUGUCAUGUAACAUUAUUACAACAUCUAUAUCAUGGGUCCAUAAUUUUGAGUAAGUCAUUCAUCAACCACUUUAUCUGUACUGGAAACCAUUUCUGAGAGGGAUGAAGUGAUGGAAGAUAAUGAGCCAGAGGGUGGAACGGAAGAGAAAGGGAAAGAAAUAAAGAAAAAGGCAGAAAGAAAAAGGACUAGAACUUGCAAUAGAAGAAAAAGUUGAGGAAAUGAAGAGGAAGAAAUUGAAGAUGAAAAGAAGAGCUCUGGGAGGAAAAAAUUCCAUUUGUAAGAUGUGUGGACAAAAGAAAAACAGCCAUAGAGUGCCAAUGUGGAGUGGAAUAAGUCAGUAUGACUUAAACAUGGUCAAUUGAAGUGUUUGAAUGCCCCUCCAGAAAGCAGAACAAUCUUUGAAUUUGCAGGAAAGAGUAUAAAAUUUGCUGUUAAAAUAUCAUAACAGCUAGACAAAGAUUAAAUAACAACUACAUGUACAUCUAAAGAAUUCUUUUGUCAUAAUAGUGAUUCAUGUGCUAGUACAUGUGACAAGUGCUAUA